CUAGAAAUUAAAUUGCGAGAGGCACGUAAGCCCGCGGUGCACUGCAUCCAAUCGGAUGUCGGAUAGCAGCUGAGCUUCAUAGUGUAACUCAUGCGAUUGGUUCAGCCUCCUACGCCUAGAGUGCGAACCGUGAAGAACCCUGUCAAUUGGAAAAAUUUGCAUGAGCAUUGUAGAGUAUUAAGAGGUGUUAUCCUUGUAACAGAUUGCAAAAACCGAGUUGAAAUUUAUAGAGCUGGGCACAGAGUCGUUUCGCGACUUUUGUCAUGUAAUUCUAGCUACAAUGAAAUCAGUCAUUUCGUGGAAACCUCCAGAAAGAUAUGGAAAAUCUGUAGAGGAUAUGUAUAAGGACACGUUAUCUUGAUAUUAGACUAAUUAUCAAGAUAGUAAUUUUUUUAUUGCUCUUCCAAAUGCAUGUUCUUGGAAUGGACGUUGUGUGAUUAUUCUGGCCAUUGGAAGCUUCUUCUACGUUUUCUGUUCGGAAAAAAUAGACGCCAUUGUGUGUCUAAACGUAAAUAAUGUUCGAACAAUGUCGAGUGAUAUCAAGCGAUAUAGAGCGAUGUCGAGCUGGCGAAAUUAUUGAAUUUUGGCGCUUUUGUCAAUUGAACUUAACGGCGGAAAUUGAACUGUACUAAAGUCAAUUAUAUUAAUAAGUUUCUUGAUUUUUUGUGGUAUUGUGACCUGAAUUACACUUCCAUUGUACCAAAAAUAUUUUGUAAAUAUAAACACAAUAUCAGAUAUUAAUUGUUAUUAAU